GGAAUCACGGAGUGUUUUAUGGCACUCUUUAAAAUCCAUAUCCACCUUGUGUGCAAUGUUUGUUGGGAAAGUCUUUUUCUUUCCCUUCAUAAAUAUCAACCUAUAUCUUUAACAACAUUCGUCUGAUAACAUAUUAUGAAUAUACUUAAUUCAAAAUAUAACUUUCAACAACGGAUCUCUUGGCUCUCGCAUCGAUGAAGAACGCAGCGAAAUGCGAUACGUAAUGUGAAUUGCAGAAUUCAGUGAAUCAUCGAAUCUUUGAACGCAUAUUGCGCUCUUUGGUAUUCCGAAGAGCAUGCUUGUUUGAGUAUCAGUAAACACCUCAACCUCUCUUUUUUGAUAAAAAAAAAAGGGAGGGUGGACUUGAGCUAUCCCAACGACCUUCACCGGUAGGCGGGCGGCUUGAAAUGCAGGUGCAGCUGGACUUUUAUCUGAGCUAAAAGCAUAUCUAUUUAGUCCUCGUCAAACAGGAUUAUUACUUUUGCUGCAGCUAACAUAAAGGAUAAUUGUCCUCUUUGCUGACUGAUGCAGGAUUUUACGACACUUUAUGUGUUGUUCAACUCGAUCUCAAAUCAAGUAAGACUACCCGCUGAACUUAAGCAUAUCAAUAAGCGGGAGGAA
rnacentral:rRNA from 1 species